rnacentral:rRNA from 1 species
GAUGAACGCUGGCGGCGUGCCUAAUACAUGCAAGUCGAGCGAACAGACGAGGAGCUUGCUCCUCUGACGUUAGCGGCGGACGGGUGAGUAACACGUGGAUAACCUACCUAUAAGACUGGGAUAACUUCGGGAAACCGGAGCUAAUACUGGAUAAUAUAUUGAACCGCAUGGUUCAAUAGUGAAAGACGGUUUUGCUGUCACUUAUAGAUGGAUCCGCGCCGCAUUAGCUAGUUGGUAAGGUAACGGCUUACCAAGGCAACGAUGCGUAGCCGACCUGAGAGGGUGAUCGGCCACACUGGAACUGAGACACGGUCCAGACUCCUACGGGAGGCAGCAGUAGGGAAUCUUCCGCAAUGGGCGAAAGCUUGACGGAGCAACGCCGCGUGAGUGAUGAAGGUCUUCGGAUCGUAAAACUCUGUUAUUAGGGAAGAACAAAUGUGUAAGUAACUAUGCACGUCUUGACGGUACCCAAUCAGAAAGCCACGGCUAACUACGUG